AGUCUCCUGUGUUCAUGAGCAUUCUGGUUGGUUGCAUCACACGCUGGAUUGGUAACUCGAAUACCCAAGAACAAAGGAGACUACAGAAGGAGACUACUAUC